GGCUGAGUUGACAAAGCGGCUUCCACAGUAACAUAAGGACAAAGGGUGUAUGUAGAUAUGCACGUGGUAGCAGGUUCUACUAAAGGAACCUGGACCGACCAUUCUUACUCACAUUCUUUGGGAGCUGUAUUCUAAUACUUUCAGAAAAGCCAUGGGAACACACCAGAGUGACUGCUCGAGUAAAUAAGUAGCAUACACAGCAAGCCAAACCAUUGAUGUACACAUCACUGGGCCCAAUACUAUGAAAUCUCACAUAAGAAACUUGAAAGUGAAAGGUGGAAUUCUGAGGAUACUGGUUUUGCUUAAUAAACAGCAUUUCAACAGUUAUUGUCAUGAUAUUGCUACUGAUGCUGAACAAAGACCCAAGAACCAGGGUGAUGUUUAGCAUGGGCUGGCCUCAGCAGGACUGAAAGGACAUCAAUAAAGGAGAACAGAGAGAAGGAAGGAGGACAAGUGCCAACUUUGAGCAGGUAUCAGGUGUAUGUGGGGGCAAACCAUUUCUCCGUCCACCCUGAUGAUGAGUCCCCGUUUCCCUUUUUAAGGCCGGAUUUUUGCACCCUCACCCCACCUAAGGCAGCCAGGGCCCCACACUGCAAUACUCCUAGGUAACAUCCAU
rnacentral:lncRNA from 1 species